AGUUAUAAUAUAUUUUUUUAAUUUAAUUCAAUAAUUAAGCUAGAGGUGAAAUUUAAAAGUUUAACGUAGUUGAGUUGUAUGUUAUUAAGAAGUUUAGAGUCUUAGAAGUUUUAGAUUUAAAAGAGGAUUAGAUACCCUUGUAUACUAUGAAGAAAAGUGAUUAAGCCUGGGUAUUAAUAGUUAUGAGCUCUAAAUCCAAAGAAUUUGGCGGUACUUAAGUCUAGUUAGAGGAACUUGUGCUGUAAACGAUAAUCCGCGAUAAUCUUUCUCUAUUUUGUAAAAUCAGUAUGUAUACCGUCAUUAUUAAGUGGUUCUAAAAAGAAGAACUGUAAUAGAGAAUUUGUUUAGUAUAUUAGAUCAAGGUGCAGCUUAUAGUAGAGUUUGUUCAUGAGUUACAANUAUUUAUAAUAACAUGGAUAGUUUGAAGGAAAAAUUCAUCUUGAAGGUGGAUUUAAUUGUAAACAAAGUUAUAUCACUUUUUGUUGAUAGAGCACUUAAGUAUGCACAAAUCGCCCGUCGUUCUCAAUUU
rnacentral:rRNA from 1 species